UACGUAGGGUCCGAGCGUUGUCCGGAAUUACUGGGCGUAAAGAGCUCGUAGGUGGUUUGUCGCGUUGUUCGUGAAAACUCACAGCUCAACUGUGGGCGUGCGGGCGAUACGGGCAGACUAGAGUACUGCAGGGGAGAACGGAAUUCCUGGUGUAGCGGUGAAAUGCGCAGAUAUCAGGAGGAACACCGGUGGCGAAGGCGGUUCUCUGGGCAUUACCUGACGCUGAGGACCGAAAGUGUGGGGAGCGAACAGG
rnacentral:rRNA from 1 species